rnacentral:rRNA from 1 species
UACGUAGGGGGCAAGCGUUGUCCGGAUUUAUUGGGCGUAAAGAGCGUGUAGGCGGCCGUACAGGUCAGCUGUGAAAACUCGAGGCUCAACCUCGAGACGUCGGUUGAAACCGUACGGCUAGAGUCCGGAAGAGGAGAGUGGAAUUCCCGGUGUAGCGGUGAAAUGCGCAGAUAUCGGGAAGAACACCCGUGGCGAAGGCGGCUCUCUGGGACGGUACUGACGCUCAGGCACGACAGCGUGGGGAUCAAACAGG